CUCGUUAUAUUACUUUGAAAACAUACAUGGCUUAAAUCAGCAUUGUUCAAACGUCAAAACUUUUAAGAUGUGUGGAUUUCAACUCCCAGAAUUCCUUUGGACUCCAAUUAUUAAACAAACGGGGGAAAAAAUCUAUGCAAGAACUACAGCUAUUACAAAAAAUUUAUAUGCAUUUCUCUGUUCUGUUCUGUGGUUCGUCGACCGUUAAUAGGGGGCGGAGAGAGCGCCAUCCGUAGCUGGUACAGUCCUUAGUCUUCUUUCGCUUAUUGCAGAGGAAAGGGAAGGAGGAGUCGCACAACUCUCCACGUGCAAGUUUAGAGGAAAGGGCCAAGGGUCUUCUUCCCCUUUAACUUCUCGCCUUUGCACCCCCGCCGCCCUGGCAAUGGUACGGCCUGGAGCAAAGCAUAAAGGAAACCGAAGGCAGAGGAGGCUGUCCUUCUCUUUCUGGCGCGCGGGAGGGCAGCGGGGUUGUCUCGGCGGUUAUGGAGGUAAGCAAAGCGGGCGAGGAAAGAUAUGCAAGCAGAGAUGAGGCGGGCAACCUGCAUUGGCCACCCAACUGGUGGAGCCUGAGAGAAGAUGGAGAGGAGAGCGCGUAGAGCAAGACUGUCUUUAGGGCCGAGGAAAGCUAAGAAACCUCUCUGGUAACCUUGCACUGCAACUUCUGGCGCCUCGGGAUCGGGGAAAGGCGGCUUGCACACAUCGCCCCCCCCCCCGCUGCCGCUUGAACCGCUCGAUGCAGCGUGCCAUUAAAUCUUAAAUCGGCGCAAAAUGAGAAGGAAAAAAAUUCGGGCGGGCAGAUCCUGAUGUAGAGAAAAAAACCUGCUUCCGUUUCUCCAAGGCAGAGGUGUCAAACCAUGGUUAUUUUAACACUUGUGGACUUCAACUUCCAGAGUUAAAGUGGCCAAGAUUGGAGACCACCCUGCUCUAAAGCAACGAAACGCCCCGGGCUAGAAGCGCGCGAAAGCCUUGGCGGCUCCCUGGACAGAAGUGGGAGCGCGAGGACAACUUCCGGCGCCCCUCGUGACGCUGUGCUGGAAAGGCGCGUGCGUGGCCGCCGAUUGUGAAGCGCGAGACCCGUAGAAGCACGUGAUGUUAGCAGAAAAAGCUGCCAUUUUGAAUGAAAACAAUUCUUAGGAUGCAGAAGCCCUCCAGGAUGUUUGGAUCACACUUGGACCACAAUCCAUACUUUCAUGCCAUGCUCAUCCAUCCAUCCUUUUUCAUGGAUGUGCACAACAACACCUCUUGGAAUCACUUCUUUUGGGAAGGUUUUCCUUUUAAAUAUUAAUAUUGAUGCUAAUUUGGUGCCAUCUGCACAGCAGGACAACACAAGUGUGUAAUGUGUCUUCUCAUGUCCUGUAGUUUUUACAGUUAUGCUUUUGGCCCCUUUGACAUCAACAAUCCUGUUUGAUGGCACAUCAAAAGUUAGUGGGACUUCAUCCGUAUUCCCGAUCUGGCCAAUCUCAAAAUUAUUUCUGGAAUCUAUCACAAAAGUGUGAAAAGACAGAAUCUUAGCCUCAUACUUUUUUGGCAUUCUUUGCGCAAUUCUAGUUUUGGUGCGCAUAGCAAGGUCACAUCGCCUCAUAAAUCUGAAGCACCACGAUGGUGUUCCACUAAAAUCCUGAAUGCCUUUCCGUGUAGCAAUGCAUUUGGCUUCAUACAUCACCAUUUUUGUGGUGACUGCGAAACCACUGUUCUGAUGACUUGUGAUCCAGUCUCUUGUUUCCUCCUCUAACUGUGGCCACUUUGCAGGAAGUCCACAAAAGUUGUGCUUGCUUUUAUCUUUUACAGCCUAUCCACCUGUUUCUUCUACUCUCAUUAUCUUUUCAGUUGGAGGUGGUCCAAAAUGUUUCUCUGCUGCUCUGUUUCCAUGUUCCUCGGCAUAUUUCAAGACUUCCAGCUUGAAAGAGAUUGUAUAUGCCUGCCUUUUUGGCUUUGACAUUUUUCUGCAAGAAAGAACAAUAAUGUGUCAUUUAUAACAGUACAGUGCACUGUAGCUGAAACUACAUUCAUACACGCAUUAGAUCAUUACACCCGCCCCCUAAAUAAUAUGCCUUAGCCUUAACCCUAACCCCAACCUGCAAACAGGCAAUAAGCCUUAAACCUUAAAACAAUAAGCCAAACCCAUUACAAAAGUACUGACAGCUUUCAGACCUGUGGACUUCAACUCACAGAAUUCCUCCUCCAGUCAUGUUAUCUCAGGAUUUCUGGAACUUACCGGUAAAGUCCACAAGUUUUACAGCUGCCACGUUUGAAGACCCUUGCCAACCCUAACCAGUGCUUACCUGUGUGGUGUCCCAGGAGCAGGUGGCAGGCUUCGCCAGGCAGCAUUGUCUGGGGCGUCAGCCAGGAAGCAGGUGAGGCAGGUAGCUUAUCCAGGCAGCGGUGGGGCAGUGGCUUUGAUUUUGCCCGGGAGCAGGUCAAACUCCUUGGGCAGCAGCGGGUUGGUGGCGGUGGCAGCUUUAAAUUUUGCCCAGGAGCAGGUCAGGCUCCUUGGGCAGUAGCAAGGUGGUGGCAGCGGUUUUAAAUUUUGCCCCAGAGCAGGUGAGACUCCUCGGGCAGUAGCGAGGUAGCGCGGGGCUCCUGGGGCAGCAGUGAGGCAGCGGUGGCUUUAAAUUUUGCCCAGGAGCAGUGGAGCAGCUCGGGUGGUAGGUCAUCCUACCUACUUUUGCCAUCGAUUGCCGCCACCAUACCUCUCACUCCUCCCAUCAGGUGUGGCUCAUGCUACAUUCGGAGUAUAAGACCCACCCAGAUUUUCAGCCUCUUUUUGGAAAGAAAAAGGUGUGUCUUAUACUCCGAAAAAUACAGUACCUUUUUGUGCUAUUUGAGACAAUGAUAUUAAAAUAUGCAUGGGAUACUGUCAGGAUACAGUUUUGUUGACUUUCAGGUAUUCUGCUUAAAAACGUUUUACUUUAAUGCGGUGCUUCUUCUAUAUUGCUGGCUUUACCUAUAGCGCACUAGUUGUAGUUCUAGACAAUCUGCAAACAUGCCAUUGAAAUCUGCAGAACUGCCAUAUAACAGUGGCAUCAUUUUGCUGCAUUUUUGUAAGCUUAAGAGUCUUUCCAAUCAGCUGAAUUUAGCUUUACAAAUUCUCCGUCAGUUCUUUCUUAGCUUUAACCAUUUCUGCCUACCUAUUUCCUUGCCUCUGUCUUUCUCAUUUUGGUCUUCCAUUGCAAAUAUAAUCCUUUUCUAAACAUGCACACACUCCCUAUGCUUCAAGUAACAUCACAAAUUUUCUUUUUCCAUCAAUCUAUGCAUGUAUCAUGCUUGGGAUGGAAUAUGCAGCAAAGCCUCCUAUGAGACUAUUUGGUUAAAACUGCUGUUACAUUUGCCCUUUAGGAAGACAAGAAAAAGAAUCUAGCAGACAACAAAAGGUGACUAAAUUAUGCAGCAAGACUGUGAAAGAUGGAAUCUGAGUCUUUGGAAGUUGUUGAGCUAAAGCUUCCAGCAUCUCUCAUUAUUGUAUUUUGCUGUGCUGGAAUUUGUAAUUCAGCAGCAUUUUGAGAGUCACUGAUUCCCCAUUCUUACUCUUUACUUUACUCAUUCUUACUUUAGCUUGUGAAGGAAGCAGAUGGCCUUUGGUUUCAGCUACUCCUGCAGACAUAACACCAGCAUCUUUGAGUUCAUUGCUGCAUUCUGCCAUUGUUUCUACUGACAUAGACAAGCAGAAUUAGGACUUGGUGAGAACAAGUAUCUUACUGCAGAGGACAACUAAAAGGAAAAUGUGGCAACCUUGUGGGACAAGGGCAGUGUGUAUAUACAUAUACACACAUACUAGUCAGUGAUGGUUCCGGAUCCCAUCGCAACCGGUACACUGCGAUGGGGCCGGAUGUACAUGCAUGCUGCGCACGCAUGCACACCCACAACCCUGUGAUGCUGCAGCUGCUCGGUGGAGUGUUGCGCAGAAGCUGUACACUCGGUGCACAUGCGCAAAUGACCCAGUUGGCUCAAAUGCAGGUAAGGAACGCGGGCAGGCCCUUCAAAGCACAGUUCCGUUAAUGGUGCCUGCUGCUCCCAGCAGGCACCAGUACACCCAUACUGGGACGUACCUAUCGGAACCCACCACCAAUACUAGUAAUCCUUGCCAUGCUUUAGUGAUUGACUUGUGGGGGUUUUUUUGGGGGGGGGAUAUUGAUUCAAACACCAAUGUGAUGCAUUAUCUUUAACUGGAAUCAAGUUCAAAAUUGAUCUCAAUACAAUAAUACUUAAACAAACCGCUUAUUUAUCUACUGGUUAUUUUCAAUAAAUAUUUUGGAUGCUGCUGAGUAAAUGCAUAUUUUUUCCUGUUCCCUGUAGUUGUAGAAUGACUGAACCAGAAAGUAAAAGAGAGAAGAUGGACUUUUUGUAUAAAUACUGGCAAAAGAACCAUUGUUCUGAGGCAGCUUCACAGCAACUCUGCCCUAGACCUACAACACAAUGCAAGAAGAGUACUGUGGCAUCUUUUAAACCUACAAAUUCAUUACCCAAGGGGAAGGCGGGGAAACUUGAAAAUGGCAUCCGGUUGAAAGUGGUAUCCAACCAAAACUCUGGACAUGCUACGUCAUUGGCACCUUUCAUCAUAAUCAAACGCUCCCAAAUUGAAGGAGGGGACACCACCUACUCAGUAAUAUAUUCCCUGGGACCAAAUUUACAUGCAAAGAGAAAACAGACAAUAGACUAUCAUUCCUCCAUGUCAACAUAAGGAGACUAGACAACAGAGCAUUAGAAACCUGUGUCUACUGCAAACCUAUACACAUAGACUACAUCCUCCCAACCACCCCAUCUCACACAAAAGAAACUGUUCAGACCCUGUUCAGAAGGGCCAGGACACACUGCAGCACCUCAAUACUAAAAAGCAGAAGUGAAACAGCUGAUAGGUGUCUUUCUUUCUAAUGGCUAUCCAAAAAACUUCACAUUCCAGCAGCCACAGCACAUAGCCAAUUGUUUUGGCUGUGGUUUUAAAACUGAUUGAUGAAAAAAGUAUACCAGGUUUCAGCACUGAACAAUUUUGGCUAUUGGACUUGGUGGCCUUCUAUAAUUUAAAAGGUUUCUAUGAAUAUGGCUACUUUAGGUUGCAGUACUGUUUAUAAAACCACUUUUGAUUGCACUAAGGAUUCUGAAAUAAACUAUUUUAUUUUA